rnacentral:rRNA from 1 species
AAGAAAGAUUAAUACCCGAUGGUACCGCAUGGUUAAAGAAUUUCGGUUAUCGAUGGGGAUGCGUUCCAUUAGAUAGUUGGCGGGGUAACGGCCCACCAAGUCUUCGAUGGAUAGGGGUUCUGAGAGGAAGGUCCCCCACAUUGGAACUGAGACACGGUCCAAACUCUACGGGAGGCAGCAGUGAGGAAUAUUGGUCAAUGGACGAGAGUCUGAACCAGCCAAGUAGCGUGAAGGAUGACUGCCUAUGGGUUGUAAACUUCUUUUAUAUGGGAAUAAGUGGAGUAUGUAUACUCUUUUGUAUGUACCAUAUGAAUAAGGAUCGGCUAACUCCGUGCCAGCAGCCGCGGUAAUACGGAGGAUCCGAGCGUUAUCCGGAUUUAUUGGGUUUAAAGGGAGCGUAGGCGGAUGCUUAAGUCAGUUGUGAAAGUUUGCGGCUCAACCGUAAAAUUGCAGUUGAAACUGGGUGUCCUGAGUGCAGUAUAGGCAGGCGGAAUUCGUGGUGUAGCGGUGAAAUGCUUAGAUAUCACGAAGAACUCCGAUUGCGAAGGCAGCUUGCUGGAGUGUCACUGACGCUGAUGCUCGAAAGUGUGGGU